UACGAAGGUGGCAAGCGUUACUCGGAAUUACUAGGCGUAAAGGGCAGGUAGGUGGUUCGGUAAGUCUGUUGUGAAAGCUCCUGGCUUAACUGGGAGAGGUCAACAGAUACUAUUGGACUAGAGUGUGGGAGAGGGGACUGGAAUUCCCGGUGUAGCGGUGAAAUGCGCAGAGAUCGGGAGGAACACCAAUGGCGAAAGCAGGUCCCUGGACCACUACUGACACUCAGCUGCGAAAGCUAGGGGAGCAAACAGG
rnacentral:rRNA from 1 species